rnacentral:rRNA from 1 species
GGCUGAGCUGUGAUGGCGAGCGAAAUAUAGUAGCGAAGUUCCUGAUUCCACACUGCCAAGAAAAGCCUCUAGCGAGGUGAGAGGUGCCCGUACCGCAAACCGACACAGGUAGGCGAGGAGAGAAUCCUAAGGUGAUCGAGAGAACUCUCGUUAAGGAACUCGGCAAAAUGACCCCGUAACUUCGGGAGAAGGGGUGCUCUGUUAGGGUGCAAGCCCGAGAGAGCCGCAGUGAAUAGGCCCAGGCGACUGUUUAGCAAAAACACAGGUCUCUGCGAAGCCGUAAGGCGAAGUAUAGGGGCUGACGCCUGCCCGGUGCUGGAAGGUUAAGAGGAGCGCUUAG